AGUGAACGCUGGCGGCGUGCUUAACACAUGCAAGUCGAACGAGAACGGAAUAUAGCUUGCUAUAUUUGUCAGCUAAGUGGCGCACGGGUGAGUAAUAUAUAGAUAACCUGCCCUUAAGAAAGGAAUAACAGUUGGAAACGACUGCUAAUGCCCUAUAUGCCUUUAAUACAUAAGUAUGCAAGGGAAACGCUUUAGUGCUUAAGGAUGGGUUUGUAUGGUAUCAGCUUGUUGGUGAGGUAAUGGCUCACCAAGGCUAUGACGCCUAACUGGUUUGAGAGGAUGAUCAGUCACACUGGAACUGAGACACGGUCCAGACUCCUACGGGAGGCAGCAGUGGGGAAUAUUGCACAAUGGACGAAAGUCUGAUGCAGCAACGCCGCGUGGAGGAUGACACAUUUCGGUGCGUAAACUCCUUUUAUAUAGGAAGAUAAUGACGGUACUAUAUGAAUAAGCACCGGCUAACUCCGUGCCAGCCGCCGCAGUAA
rnacentral:rRNA from 1 species